CGCCAGUUUCCCCCCUUCCCCCACCCUCCCUCCACUCCACGGGAGACGACAGAGCACGGAGAAAGCGAACGACCGCGGCGAUGCUCUACAUAGUCGGCCUAGGCCUCGGCGAUGAGCGCGACAUCACGGUGCGGGGGCUCGACGCCGUCCGCCGCUGCGCCAAGGUCUACAUGGAGGCCUACACCUCCCUCCUCUCUCUCGGCCUCGACCCAGCCUCGCUCGCUAACCUCGAGAAGAUGUACGACAAGGAGAUCACGGUCGCCGACCGCGAGAUGGUAGAGGAGCGCGCGGACCAGAUGCUGAGCGAGGCCGCGGAAGCCGACGUCGCCUUCCUCGUCGUCGGCGACCCGUUUGGGGCGACCACACACACUGAUUUGGUUGUUCGUGCCAAGAACAUGGGGGUAGAGGUUAAGGUUAUCCACAAUGCAUCUGUCAUGAAUGCUAUUGGCGUUUGUGGGUUGCAACUUUACCGCUAUGGAGAGACCAUCUCUAUACCUUUCUUCACAGAGACAUGGAGACCGGAUAGUUUCUAUGAGAAAAUUCAGAACAGUCGUCGACUUGGCUUGCAUACUCUUUGCCUACUAGACAUCCGUGUUAAGGAGCCAACACUUGAGUCCUUAUGCAGAGGAAAGAAAGUGUACGAACCAGCAAGAUUCAUGACCGUGAACACUGCAAUAAGUCAGCUUUUGGAGGUGGAGGAACUGCAUGGGGGAUCUGCAUAUGGUCCAGAUUCGCUAUGUAUGGGUGUAGCUCGCCUUGGAAGCGAUGAUCAGAAGAUUGUGGCUGGCCCCAUGAAGAAACUACUAGAUGUUGAUUUUGGACCACCCCUUCACUGUCUCAUUAUAGUGGGAGAGACUCACCCUGUGGAACAAGAGAUGCUAGAAUUCUACAUGAUCAAGUAGUGAUGAGCUAUCAUUAUUAGAUGAGGAACUUGUAGUCUAGAUGCAUGGUCCCCUUAUGAAGAAAAGAAGCUCUCUUGAAGCGUUGAUGUUUGCUUGCACUCGAAGUGUGCUGCUGGAUCGGCGGCUACUCAUUCACCGAAUAGACCUUGAGAGAUAUCGUUACUUAUUCACAAACGUUGAUCAGAAUACUAGCUGCUAUUGCAAAGUCAUCACUGAAUUCUCUUGUUCUUCCAUGUUGUAUGUGCACACGUCCAUCAUUUUGAAAGUUUGCAGAUCCAUAUUGCAUUCGC
rnacentral:rRNA from 1 species